GUAGGAGUGGGUGUAAAGCCAGCGCCCAAGGUCUGCUAGGGCACUGGUUCAGACUGAAAGGAACCUGUGCCCCUGUCUGGGUGAGGGUUACUGUGUCCCUGGAUCGUGGGGUGUCCAAUAUACUCCCCAUUUUGAGCCAGUUUUGUGGCCUCCUCACCCGUGAUCCUGGACAUGUUAGAGGAACUGGGAGUCCGGCUUCCUCUGGGUGCUGUGGGGAGUGGGUACAAAACCAGCACUCAAUGUCUGCUCAGGGCAUUGGUUCAGAGCGGAAGGAUGUGCCUCCUCUUUUAAGGAUUUUGGUUUCCCUUCCAGUGUAGGAUUUACUCUUGAAUAUUUAACACUUGGAUUUUGUUUAGCAGAACUGGAAGACAGAUGCCACUCCAGGUUUUUCUAUUUGGUUUUGACUUCUACUUUGUAAAAACACUCUAGGGGAAAGUGCAGCUAAAGUGUACAAAGAUCUUAAGAAGCUCUCUCGUCUCUUCAAAGACCAGCUGGUGUACCCUCUUCUGGCUUUCACACGACAAGUGCUGAACCUCCCAGAUGUGUUUGGGCUGGUUGUCCUUCCACUGGAGCUGAAACUACGCAUCUUCCGACUUCUGGAUGUUCAUUCCGUCCUGGCUCUGUCUGCAGUCUGCCAUGACCUCCUCAUUGCAUCAAAUGACCCACUGCUGUGGAGGUGCUUGUAUCUGCGGGAUUUUCGAG
rnacentral:lncRNA from 1 species